rnacentral:rRNA from 1 species
GAUGAACGCUGGCGGCGUGCCUAAUACAUGCAAGUCGAGCGAACAGACGAGGAGCUUGCUCCUCUGACGUUAGCGGCGGACGGGUGAGUAACACGUGGAUAACCUACCUAUAAGACUGGGAUAACUUCGGGAAACCGGAGCUAAUACCGGAUAAUAUAUUGAACCGCAUGGUUCAAUAGUGAAAGACGGUUUUGCUGUCACUUAUAGAUGGAUCCGCGCCGCAUUAGCUAGUUGGUAAGGUAACGGCUUACCAAGGCGACGAUGCGUAGCCGACCUGAGAGGGUGAUCGGCCACACUGGAACUGAGACACGGUCCAGACUCCUACGGGAGGCAGCAGUAGGGAAUCUUCCGCAAUGGGCGAAAGCCUGACGGAGCAACGCCGCGUGAGUGAUGAAGGUCUUCGGAUCGUAAAACUCUGUUAUUAGGGAAGAACAAAUGUGUAAGUAACUAUGCACGUCUUGACGGUACCUAACUAGAAAGCCACGGCUAACUACGUG